rnacentral:rRNA from 1 species
AUGUCCAUGGAGACCCCGUUGGCGCGAGUGACGGAUGACCUGAUCAAGGGGCGGGAGUUCGCGACGCAGCUGCAGGGCCUCCUCCGGGACUCCCCCAAGGCCAGCGGCCUCAUCGUGGACCAGAUCCUCCACGCCUUCUCUCGCGCCAUCCACGCCGCCAGGGCCGCGGCCGCUGCCAGCGCCAGCGAGAGGUCCUCGGACGUGCACAGCGAGGUCACCGACGGCGCCAGCGGCGGCGGGAAGAGGAAGCCCGCCUCCGCCGCCGCCGGAGGAAACGGGAGGGCCUGCCGGAGAAGGACCCAGCAAUCGUCCGUGGUCACGAAGAGCAUGAAGAGCUUGGACGACGGGCAGGCAUGGCGCAAGUACGGGCAGAAGGAGAUACACAACUCCAAGCACUCGAGGGCCUACUUCCGGUGCACGCACAAGUACGACCAGCAGUGCGCGGCGCAGCGGCAGGUCCAGCGCUGCGACGACGACGAGGGCAUGUUCAGGGUCACCUACAUCGGCGUGCACACCUGCCGGGACCCCGCCGCCGCCGCCGCGGCGCCGCACGUCCUCCACCACCUGACCGGCGCCGCCCAAGGCCUGCACGCCGGCUGCCACCUCAUCAGCUUCGCGCCCGGCAGCGCCGCUACCGCUACCCAUGGCACCACCACCAGCACGGCGACGGGGUCCGGCCUGCAGGGCAUGAAGCCUGACAGCGGCGACCAGGAGGAGGUGCUGAGCAGCCGCACCCCCGGGAGCUCAGCCCUGCACAGCACCGCCGCCUACUUGGCCCGACCAGGGAGACGUGACGUCCACCCGGCAAUACGGCGGCGCCGUUAG